rnacentral:rRNA from 1 species
CCUACGGGAGGCAGCAGUCGAGAAUCAUUCACAAUGGGGGAAACCCUGAUGGUGCGACGCCGCGUGGGGGAAUGAAGGUCUUCGGAUUGUAAACCCCUGUCAUGUGGGAGCAAAUUAAAAAGAUAGUACCACAAGAGGAAGAGACGGCUAACUCUGUGCCAGCAGCCGCGGUAAUACAGAGGUCUCAAGCGUUGUUCGGAAUCACUGGGCGUAAAGCGUGCGUAGGCUGUUUCGUAAGUCGUGUGUGAAAGGCGCGGGCUCAACCCGCGGACGGCACAUGAUACUGCGAGACUGGAGGAAUGGAGGGGGAACCGGAAUUCUCGGUGUAGCAGUGAAAUGCGUAGAUAUCGAGAGGAACACUCGUGGCGAAGGCGGGUUCCUGGACAUUAACUGACGCUGAGGCACGAAGGCCAGGGGAGCGAAAGGGAUUAGAUACCCCUGUAGUC